rnacentral:rRNA from 1 species
UACGUAGGCAGCAAACGUUGUUCGGAAUUACUGGGCGUAAAGAGUGUGUAGGCGGUUUCGUAAGUUUGGUGUGAAAUCUCCCGGCUUAACUGGGAGGGUGCGCCGAAAACUGCGAGGCUUGAGUACUGGAGAGGAGAGCGGAAUUCCUGGUGUAGCGGUGAAAUGCGUAGAUAUUAGGAGGAACACCGGUGGCGAAGGCGGCUACCUGGACCGAUAUUGACGCUGAGACGCGAAAGCGUGGGGAGCAAACAGG